rnacentral:tRNA from 1 species
UAGAGAUUAGUCUAAAUAAGACAACUAGUUUCGACCUGGUAAACCUCGGCCCUACGAGAUCUCUAA